CGCAGGCGCAGCCCCGGCCGCGGAGCGGGAGCGGGGCCGGGCCCGGCGGGGCCGCCGCGGUGCCCUCACGGUCUGUACAGCCCCAAGGGUUUGGCCUGUGAUCAAGGAGUGGUCCUAAACGUAUGGAUAACAAGAAGGAGGAAAGAAGUAGGUCGCUAUGUGCAACAUCACAAGAAGAGCUGAAAGUCCGAGGAAAAGAAAAAAGGAAACGAAAACGUAGCAGAAGCAGAUCAUCAUCAAUUUCAUCCACAUCAUCUUCUAGUACUUCCACUACAUCCACUUCUUCCUCUUCAUCACGCUCAUCAUCGAGGUCUUCUUCCAGUACCAGAGAUUCUCCUAAAUCCAAAUCAAAGAAGAAGAAAAAAGAAAAACACAAUAAAAAGAAGAGGAAAAAAGAGAACAAAAUGAAGAAAAAGAAAGAAAAGAAGAAAAAGAGAGAGAAAGCAGGACCUGUCCAGCUUUCCAAGUUCUUUAAAAACAAAAAGAAGAAUGAAAACUACAGCAUGAUAACAGGAAAGAAAAUUAAGAUGAAAAUAAAGAAGUCUAAGAAGGAUAAAGAGAGAGACCGGAAUCGUGCAGAGCUCCUUGAGUUUCUGAACUCUGCCUUAUGAUGGAAAGAGUGCUGACCAAGGACUUGCUGACCAAGCCAACAAUCAUCAUGCCUAGCAAAACCCUACAGGGAAACUCAGGGAAAAGGGCACCAAGUUGGACAAGACCAGACUCUCCUGCUAUGAAGACAAUCAGGAUGUCCUUUUUAAUGACUGAAUGAAGAGUAACUGAUAACUUGUUAAUGAAGAUCCAUGUCCUCCUUUUGAGAUCCUAAG
rnacentral:lncRNA from 1 species